rnacentral:rRNA from 1 species
CAAUAGCGUAUGUUAAAGUUGUUGCAGUUAAAAAGCUCGUAGUUGGAUUUCUGGUAGGAGUGACCGUUCCGAACUUGAUUGUUCGUGUAUUGUGUUUUCUCCAGCCAUCCUUGUGGAGAACUUUUCUUGCAUUAAUUUGUAGGGAUUGGGACCCGCAUCGUUUACUGUGAAAAAAUUAGAGUGUUUAAAGCAGGCAAUCGCUUGAAUACAUUAGCAUGGAAUAAUAAGAUAGGACUUUGGUACUAUUUUGUUGGUUUGCAUACCAAAUUAAUGAUCAACAGGAACAGUUUGAGGAUAUUCGUAUGAACAUGUCAGAGGUGAAAUUCUUGGAUUUUGAUCAGACGAACUACUGCGAAAGCGUUUAUCAAGGAUGUUUUCAUUAA